GGGUGGUUAGCUCAGUGGUAGAGCACCUCGCUUACAACGAGAGGGUCAGCGGUUCAAAUCCGUUACUACUCA
rnacentral:tRNA from 3 species